rnacentral:rRNA from 1 species
GACGAACGCUGGCGGCGUGCUUAACACAUGCAAGUCGAACGAAGUGGCGAACGGGUGAGUAACGAGUAAUCAACCUGCCCUUCAGAGGGGGACAACAGGUGGAAACGACUGCUAAUACCGCAUACUGAAGGAGGGGAUUGCGUCUGAUUGGCUAGUUGGGGGGGUAACGGCCCACCAAGGCGAUGAUCAGUAGCCGGGCUGAGAGGUUGACCGGCCACAUUGGGACAGUGACCCGGCCCAGACUCCUACGGGAGGCAGCGGUGGGGAAUCUUCCGCAAUGGACGAAAGUCUGACGGAGCAACGCCGCGUGAGUGAUGACGGCCUUCGGGUUGUAAAGCUCUGUUAAUCGGGACGCGGUACCGGAAUAGAAAGCCACGGCUAACUACGUGCCAGCCGCCGCGGUAAUUC